UUUAUGGAGAAUACAGCGGGAAAAAACGUGUUUUCUUUUACAGUUCAUGGAAAAAAUAGUCACAUUAGGUAGAAGCUUUUCAGCUGGGAGGAGCUCGUGACUCACGCAUAGGGACUCACGGCAGAUAUUGCGCAAAAUUUUGGUUUAUGGAUACCGUUUAGAUGUCCUUCCUAUUCAUUAACAUGAACAUGAUGACUGACUAAAAAAAUGACUGUUGUUUAAUAAACCAUUGUAGGCAUACAAGUUAUCAUUAUAUCACAUCAAUUGAGUGUUUUCUGUAGGCUAGGCUACUUUGUGACGUGCUUUACACUAGGCUACAGCAUAAAAAUCAACAAUAGGCUAUGAACACGUUUGCAGUAUCACUGUUGCAGAAAUCACAUACAAGAAGGCAUCCUCUUGAUUGUUUGUACAUUUUCACACAUUCCAACAUAAGCAACCCACACAGCAGUAGACUCCUAGGCGGAUCCGCCUUCAAGACGCCAAACCCGCGUGACUGUCGCAUUCGUUUUGGUGCCGCACAGAGGAUCAGCUCCGCCUCCAGGCGGCCCCGUAAAUUCUACUGUCAAACAGCGGAUCCUGAGUGGACCCAUGUCGGAUCCGCGGGCGCGGACGCACAUUUACUGUAACGGUUGAACAUGACUGUACACCAAGAGCCAAGAAGAGUCAUACUAGUGGAUAUUUUCUUAGCUGGGACACGGUUACGCUGAACCCUCUCGACGUCAACUUUUAUCGGCUGGAUUCUAGCAUCUAACGUUACGAUUGCCUCUGUUGGGUUUGCUUGAUCAACCAUCGUUUCGGGGACUCUGAUGACAGUGAAGAGCCAGAAAAAUGGUGACUUUGCAUCUCUGAGGUACCUUCCAACCUCGCCUGGUAUAUCAGUUGAAGCCUCAAGCCCAAGCCAAUUGCACUGGCAAACUCCACCAUCUCGCCGAGUGCCGAGUCACUACCCCUCAACCUGGAGAAAACUGUUAAGCUCUCAGCCUACCAUGGUUAACAGAUCACAACCAUUUAUCUCCCUUAACACCUCACCAUGGGGCAGGACCGCAACACUCUUCACCACCUCAACUCCCUGCACCUGCACCUGCAUUUAACAUACGGAGAGUUACUCAAGGAACGGCAGUCCCUCCUCAACUCCCUCCACCCCCACACCAGCCCUCAACGC